rnacentral:rRNA from 1 species
GUGGGGAAUCUUGCGCAAUGGGCGAAAGCCUGACGCAGCCAUGCCGCGUGAAUGAUGAAGGUCUUAGGAUUGUAAAAUUCUUUCACCGGGGACGAUAAUGACGGUACCCGGAGAAGAAGCUCCGGCUAACUUCGUGCCAGCAGCCGCGGUAAUACGAAGGGGGCUAGCGUUGCUCGGAAUUACUGGGCGUAAAGGGCGCGUAGGCGGACAGCUUAGUCAGAGGUGAAAGCCCAGGGCUCAACCUUGGAAUUGCCUUUGAUACUGGCUGUCUUGGGGUUGGGAGAGGUGAGGGGAACUCCGAGUGUAGAGGUGAAAUUCGUAGAUAUUCGGAAGAACACCAGUGGCGAAGGCGACUCACUGGCCCAAUACUGACGCUGAGGCGCGAAAGCGUGGGGAGCAAACAGGAUUAGAAACCCGAGUAGUCC